CUACGACGGGUACGGGUUGUGAGAGCAAGAGCCCGGAGAUGGAUUCUGAGACACGAAUCCAGGCCCUACGGGGUGCAGCAGGCGCGAAAACUUUACAAUGCUGGCAACAGCGAUAAGGGAACCUCGAGUGCCAGGUUACAAAUCUGGCUGUCGAGAUGCCUAAAAAGCAUUUCAUAGCAAGGGCCGGGCAAGACCGGUGCCAGCCGCCGCGGUAACACCGGCGGCUCGAGUGGUAACCGUUAUUAUUGGGUCUAAAGGGUCUGUAGCCGGCCGGAUAAGUCUCUUGAGAAAUCUGGCAGCUUAACUGUCAGGCUUUCAGGAGGUACUGUCUGGCUCGAGGCCGGGAGAGGUGAGAGGUACUUCAGGGGUAGGGGUGAAAUCUUGUAAUCCUUGAAGGACCACCAGUGGCGAAGGCGUCUCACCAGAACGGACCUGACGGCAAGGGACGAAAGCUAGGGGCACGAACCGGAUUAGAUACCCGGGUAGUCCUAGCCGUAAACGAUACUCGCUAGGUGUCGGCCACGGUGCGACCGUUGUCGGUGCCGUAGGGAAGCCGUGAAGCGAGC
rnacentral:rRNA from 1 species